rnacentral:rRNA from 1 species
AUCAAAUCCCUUUUGGGACGUAUUUAUUAUCUCAAACCAAUACGCCUCGGCGUACCUGGUGAAUCAUAAUAACUUUUUAAUCGCACAGAUUCAUUCUGGCGAUAUUUCAUUCAAGUUUCUGACCUAUCAGCUUUAAAUCGUAGUGUAUUGGACUACGAUGGCUUUGACGGGUGACGGAGAAUUAGGGUUCGAUUCCGGAGAGGGAGCCUGAGAAACGGCUACCACAUCUAAGGAAGGCAGCAGGCGCGCAAAUUACCCAAUUGGAAUUUCCAGAGGUAGUGAAGAUAAAUAACAAUGCCAAAGCUUUCAGCUUCUGGUAAUUGGAAUGAGAACAAUUUAAAUCCCUUAUCGAGUAUCCAUUGGAGGGCAAGUCUGGUGCCAGCAGCCGCGGUAACACCAGCUCCAAUAGCGUAUAUUAAAGUUGCUGCAGUUAAAAAGCUCGUAGUUGGAUAUGUAGCUGGACUGAACUGGCCUGCUCUGUAAUGGAGUGUGUGCCUAUUCAUCCAGUUAAUUUUCUGAAUAGUUUCUUUCACGAGAAACUCUUUCGGAUCCUUUACUUUGAAAAAAUAAGAGUGUUCAAAGCAAGCUUUAUGCCUUGAAUUCAUUAGCAUGGAAUAAUAAAAUAGGACUUUGGCCUAUUUUGUUGGUUAAAGGACCAAAGUAAUGAUUGAUAGGGACAGUUGGGGGCACCUGUAUUGAACGGCCAGAGGUGGAAUUCUUGGAUUCGUUCAAGACAAACUGCUGCGAAGGCGCUUGCCAAGGAUGUCUUCUUUAAUCAAGAACGAAAGUUGGGGGAUCGAAGACGAUUAGAUACCGUCGUAGUCUCAACCAUAAACUAUGCCAACUAAGGAUCAGCGAACGUUAUUCAAACUUCACUGGGACUUUAUGAGAAAUCAAAGUGUUUGGGUUCUGGGGGGAGUCUGGUCGCAAGUCUGAAACUUAAAGGAAUUGACGGAAGGGCACACAAGGAGUGGAGCCUGCGGCUUAAUUUGACCCAACACGGGAAACCUUACCAGGUCCAGAGACGCGAAAGAUUGACAGACUGCAGCUCUUUCUUGAUUGCGUCGUUAGUGGUGCAUGGCCGUUCUUAGUUGGUGGAGUGAUCUGUCUGGUUAAUUCCGUAAACGAACGAGACCAAGACCUACUAACUAGUCACACAUAGUCUACUAUGCUGUGUACUUCUUAGAGGGACUGUCGGCUUUUAGCCGAAGGAAGCGCUUGGCAAUAACAGGUCUGUGAUGCCCUUAGAUGUUCUGGGCUGCACGCGCGCUACACUGUUGCAUCCAACAAGCACGUAUCCUCGAUCGAAAGAUCUGGGUAAUCUUACAAUCUGCAACGUGAUGUGGAUUGAUCAUUGCAAUUAUUUGUCAUGAGCCAGGAAUUCCUAGUAAACGUGAGUCAUCAGCUCACAUUGACUAUGUCCCUGCCCUUUGUACACACCGCCCGUCGCUCCUACCGAUUGAAUGAUCCGGUGAAAUCCUCAGACUUUGCUUCCUGAAUGGCUCUUGCCAUCCUUCAAGCGAGGAAAGUUGAUUAAACCUUAUCAUUUAGAGGAAGGAGAAGUCGUAACAAGGUU